CGUAGCCUACGGGGGGCAGCAGUGGGGGAUAUUGCACAAUGGGGGAAACCCUGAUGCAGCGACGCCGCGUGAGCGAUGAAGUAUUUCGGUAUGUAAAGCUCUAUCAGCAGGGAAGAAAAUGACGGUACCUGACUAAGAAGCCCCGGCUAACUACGUGCCAGCAGCCGCGGUAAUACGUAGGGGGCAAGCGUUAUCCGGAUUUAUUGGGUUUAAAGGGUGCGUAGGCGGGACGGUAAGUCAGCGGUAAAAAUGCGGAGCUCAACUCCGUCGAGCCGUUGAAACUGUCGUUCUUGAGUGAUCGAGAG
rnacentral:rRNA from 1 species